rnacentral:rRNA from 1 species
GUCACAAUGGGCCGCAAGCCUGAUGCAGCCGAUGCCGCGUGUAUGAACGAAGGCCUCGGGUUGUAAAGUACUUUCAGCAGUGAGGAAGUGGGUAUCGUUAAUAGCAUACUCAUUUGACGUUAGCUGCAGAAGAAGCACCGGCUAACUCCGUGCCAGCAGCCGCGGUAAUACGGAGGGUGCGAGCGUUAAUCCGGAAUUACUGGGCGUAAAGCGCAUGCAGGUGGUUUGUAAGUCAGAUGUGAAAGCCCGGGGCUCAACCUCGGAAUUGCAUUUGAAACUGGCAAACUAGAGUACUGUAGAGGGGGUAGAAUUUCAGGUGUAGCGGUGAAAUGCGUAGAGAUCUGAAGGAAUACCGGUGGCGAAGGCGGCCCCCUGGACAGAUACUGACACUCAGAUGCGAAAGCGUGGGGAGCAAACAGGAUUAGAUACCCUGGUAG